UUCAAACGAUCAUCUUUAUUUAAUAAGAAUUGCAAUAAUGAAGCUGGUCGACCCCACACUCUUGAGUGUAAGGCCGAGAGCUCAACGAUACAGAAAAAACAGAGGUCCUAUAUAGCAGACCUAAAAAUGCUUAGUCAUGGCUGGUUCCACCCCUCCCAUGCAGAUCGGGCCAUCAUAAGCUACCUUGGGUUCAUCUUGUGGUUAUGUUCACCGGUGUUGUUUCCCCGUACCUUGGGUUAGUUUCUCAGAAGCAAAGAUCAUUAGAAACAAAUAGGGGUUUGUUCUAUUUCUCAGGCUCUCUCUAUCUCGGCUCACACCAUGUCCUUGACUAUAUCCACAGACCAGCUGCAGGGAGCUAGAGGGGAACCAUCCCUUUACAGAAGCACAGCAUUUGUAGUUAUGAAAAUCUCUUACUAUUGUUAAGCAUAUAAUUCAACGAUCAAUAUUCAACAAAGCAGGUAAAUACAUAAUAUUUCCCUUACAGUUUCCACACAUCUAAGUUCCUGUAGAUUGUUAAAACAGGAUGUCACAUACUACAGUCGAAACCAAAAGGCUCUUAUCUGUAUGCCCAGACCCAUGACUAAGUCACACAAGACAAGCCUAUACUAAAAUAUAACAAUGGAUAAUUCUCCAAGUAAAAACAGCAUAGUAUGUUCAAUUAAACAACAUAGUAGGUAAUUCAAUAAUUUCCUCCAUAAUGGUUACAUAAAACAGGUUACUUAAGGCAAAAACAAAAGUAGGGUGGUUGGUCGGGGUGGAUGAGUGGACGUAUAACACAAAUGUCUAGCAACCCCAAGGUUGUGUGUUUGAAUCUCAUCACGGAACACUUUAGCAACUUUUAGCUAAUUAGCAACAUUGUAACUACUUUUUAGUUACGUUGCAACUACUUAUCAAGUUAGCUAACCCUUCCCCUAAUCCUUUUAGCUAACCCUUCCACUAACCUUAACCCCUAGAGCUAGUUAGCAUUAGCCACCUAGCUGUUAGCAACAACAAAUUGUAAUUUGUGACAUAUGAUACGCUUAACAAAUUCGCAACAUAUCGUGUGAAUUGUUAUUCAUAACAUAUCAUUAAAAAUGGAUAAUGGACAUCCACAAAUUAA